AACCUUUACAAUGCACGCAAGUGCGAUAAGGGGACCCCGAGUGUUGGUGCCUAGCAUCAACUGUCUAACUGUCUAAAAAACAGUUAUUACCAAGAGCCGGGUAAGACCGGUGC
rnacentral:rRNA from 1 species